rnacentral:rRNA from 1 species
ACGAACCUUUGUAGUAGCCGUACUUUCAGUUUAAAAAUAAAUAUUAAAACUUUCAACAACGGAUCUCUUGGUUCUGGCAUCGAUGAAGAACGCAGCGAAAUGCGAUAAGUAGUGUGAAUUGCAGAAUUCAGUGAAUCAUCGAAUCUUUGAACGCACAUUGCGCCCUUCGGUAUUCCGUUGGGCAUGCCUGUUCGAGCGUCAUUUAAACCUUCAAGCUCUGCUUGGUGUUGGGUGUUUGUUCCGCCUUAGCGCGUGGACUCGCCUUAAAUUCAUUGGCAGCCGGUAUAUUGGCUUCAUGCGCAGCACAUUGCGUCAUGAUGUUAGCGUGCCUCCUUCCAUUAAGCUUUUUUCUUAGUUUGACCUCGGAUCAGGUAGGGAUACCCGCUGAACUUAAGCAUAUCAAUAAGCGGAGGAA